AGCAUUAUUUGAGUGAAAAGAAACACAUUGCAACAAAUUUGCAUGAAAAUAUAUCACAUUUAUAAAGUUUGCUACAUUGCUCAAAAAUGAGGAAAAUUUUACAUUUUCUCAAACAGGGUAAGGAACUUGGUUCCUCGAAUAACUUCCGACACGGACACCUGAGAGCAUGGCUGUCCAAGAAGAAAAUGUAGCCAUUGGUGCCAUCUAUCGACCACAGGUUAAAGAUUGGCGAUCCGUUGGAUACCGACCGAGUUAUAGCCAAAAUUUGGUGCAAAAAUGAGCCUUAGUAAAUUUUCAUUUUUUUGAAUAUUUUGAUUUUUUUAUUAUUUUUCACACUUUUUUUUAUUUAAAGCAUUACUUGAGUGAAAAGAAACACAUUGCAACCAAUUGGCAUUAAAAUAAAUCAAUUUCAUUUUUUUUGCAAAAUUUCCCAAAAAAAACGUAAGGGGUAAGCCUUAUGAAAUUUUCGAGUGGAAAUUUUUUUUGAAAUUUUUUUCUGAUUUUUUAUUAUUUUUUUAAUUUAAAGCAUUGUUUGAGUGAAAAGAAACACAUUGCAACAAAUUUGCAUGAAAAUAUAUCACAUUUAUAAAGUUUGCUAAAUUGCUCAAAAUUGAGGAAAAUUUUACAUUUUCUCAAACAGGGUAAGGAACUAAGUUCCUCGAAUAACUUCCGGCGCGGACACCUGAGAGCAUGGCUGUCGAAGAAGAAAAUCUAGCCAUUGGUGCCAUCUAUCGACCACAGUUUAAAGAUUGGCGAUCCGUUAGAUACCGACCGAGUUAUAGACAAAACUUGGGGCAAAAAUGAGCCUUAGUAAAUUUUCAUUUUUUUGAAUAUUUUGAUUUUUUUAUUAUUUUUCACACUUUUUUUUAUUUAAAGCAUUAAUUGAGUGAAAAGAAACACAUUGCAACCAAUUGGCAUUAAAAUAAAUCAAUGUAAUUUUUUUUGCAAAAUUUCCCAAAAAAAACGUAAGGGGUAAGCCUUAUGAAAUUUUCGAGUGGAAAUUUUUUUUGAAAUUUUUUUCUGAUUUUUUAUUAUUUUUUUAAUUUAAAGCAUUGUUUGAGUGAAAAGAAACACAUUGCAACAAAUUCGCAAUAAAAUAUAUCACAUUUAAAAAUUUUGCUGAAGUGCAGAAAAAUUGAGGAAAAUUUUACAUUUUCUCAAACAGGGUAAGGAACUUGGUUCCUCGAAUAACUUCUGGCACAGACAUCUGAGGGCAUGGCCGUCCAAGAAGAAAAUGUAGCCAUUUUUGCCAUCUAUCGACCACAGGUUAAAGAUUGGCGAUCCGUUGGAUACCGACCGAGUUAUAGGCAAAACUUGGUGCAAAAAUGAGGAAAAUUUUACAUUUUCUCAAACAGGGUAAGGAACUUGGUUCCUCGAAUAACUUCUGGCACAGAGAUCUGAGGGCAUGGCCGUCCAAGAAGAAAAUGUAGCCAUUGGUGCCAUCUAUCGACCACAGGUUAAAGAUUGGCGAUCCGUUAGAUACCGACCGAGUUAUAGGCAAAACUUGGUGCAAAAAUGAGGAAAAUUUUACAUUUUCUCAAACAGGGUAAGGAACUUGGUUCCUCGAAUAACUUCCGGCACGGACACCUGAGAGCAUGGCCGUCCAAGAAGAAAAUGUAGCCAUUGGUGCCAUCUAUCCACCACAGGUUAAAGAUUGGCGAUCCGUUGGAUACCGACCGAGUUAUAGGCAAAACUUGGUGCAAAAAAGAGGAAAAUUUUACAUUUUCUCAAACAGGGUAAGGAACUUGGUUCCUCGAAUAACUUCCGGCACGGACACCUGAGAGCAUGGCCGUCCAAGAAGAAAAUGUAGUAAUUUUUGCCAUCUAUCGACCACAGGUUAAAGAUUGGCGAUCCGUUGGAUACCGACCGAGUUAUAGGCAAAACUUGGUGCAAAAAUGAGGAAAAUUUUACAUUUUCUCAAACAGGGUAAGGAACUUGGUUCCUCGAAUAAGUUCCGGCACGGACACCUGAGAGCAUGGCCGUCCAAGAAGAAAAUGUAGCCAUUGGUGCCAUCUAUCGACCAAAGGUUAAAGAUUGGCGAUCCGUUGGAUACCGACCGAGUUAUAGACAGAACUUGCGGCAAAAAUGAGGAAAAUUUUACAUUUUCUCAAACAGGGUAAGGAACUUGGUUCCUCGAAUAACUUCUGGCACAGACAUCUGAGGGCAUGGCCGUCCAAGAAGAAAAUGUAGCCAUUGGUGCCAUCUAUCGACCACAGGUUAAAGAUUGGCGAUCCGUUGGAUACCGACCGAGUCAUAGGCAAAACUUGGUGCAAAAAUGAGGAAAAUUUUACAUUUUCUCAAACAGGGUAAGGAACUUGGUUCCUCGAAUAACUUCUGGCACAGACAUCUGAGGGCAUGGCCGUCCAAGAAGAAAAUGUAGCCAUUUUUGCCAUCUAUCGACCACAGGUUAAAGAUUGGCGAUCCGUUGGAUACCGACCGAGUUAUAGGCAAAACUUGGUGCAAAAAUGACGAAAAUUUUACAUUUUCUCAAACAGGGUAAGGAACUUGGUUCCUCGAAUAACUUCCGGCACGGACACCUGAGAGCAUGGCCGUCCAAGAAGAAAAUGUAGCCAUUGGUGCCAUCUAUCGACCACAGGUUAAAGAUUGGCGAUCCGUUAGAUACCGACCGAGUUAUAGCCAAAAUUUGGUGCAAAAAUGAGCCUUAGUAAAUUUUCAUUUUUUUGAAUAUUAUGAUUUUUUUAUUAUUUUUCACACUUUUUUUUAUUUAAAGCAUUACUUGAGUGAAAAGAAACACAUUGCAACCAAUUGGCAUUAAAAUAAAUCAAUUUCAUUUUUUUUGCAAAAUUUCCCAAAAAAAACGUAAGGGGUAAGCCUUAUGAAAUUUUCGGGUGGAAAAUUUUUUUGAAAUUUUUUUCUGAUUUUUUAUUAUUUUUUUAAUUUAAAGCAUUAUUUGAGUGAAAAAAAACACAUUGCAACAAAUUCGCAAUAAAAUAUAUCACAUUUAAAAAUUUUGCUGAAGUGCAGAAAAAUUGAGGAAAAUUUUACAUUUUCUCAAACAGGGUAAGGAACUUGGUUCCUCGAAUAACUUCUGGCACAGACAUCUCAGGGCAUGGGCGUCCAAGAAGAAAAUGUAGCCAUUUUUGCCAUCUAUCGACCACAGGUUAAAGAUUGGCGAUCCGUUGGAUACCGACCGAGUUAUAGGCAAAACUUGGUGCAAAAAUGAGGAAAAUUUUACAUUUUCUCAAACAGGGUAAGGAACUUGGUUCCUCGAAUAACUUCCGGCACGGACACCUGAGAGCAUGGCCGUCCAAGAAGAAAAUGUAGCCAUUGGUGCCAUCUAUCGACCACAGGUUAAAGAUUGGCGAUCCGUUGGAUACCGACCGAGUUAUAGCCAAAAUUUGGUGCAAAAAUGAGCCUUAGUAAAUUUUUAUUUUUUUGAUUUUUUUGAUUUUUUUAUUAUUUUUCACACUUUUUUUUAUUUAAAGCAUUACUUGAGUGAAAAGAAACACAUUGCAACCAAUUGGCAUUAAAAUAAAUCAAUUUCAUUUUUUUUGCAAAAUUUCCCAAAAAAAACGUAAGGGGUAAGCCUUAUGAAAUUUUCGAGUGGAAAUUUUUUUUGAAAUUUUUUUCUGAUUUUUUAUUAUUUUUUUAAUUUAAAGCAUUAUUUGAGUGAAAAGAAACACAUUGCAACAAAUUUGCAUGAAAAUAUAUCACAUUUAUAAAGUUUGCUAAUUUGCUCAAAAAUGAGGAAAAUUUUACAUUUCCCAAACAGGGUAAGGAACUUGGUUCCUCGAAUAACUUCCGGCACGGACACCUGAGAGCAUGGCUGUCGAAGAAGAAAAUGUAGCCAUUGGUGCCAUCUAUCGACCACAGGUUAAAGAUUGGCGAUCCGUUGGAUACCGACCGAGUUAUAGGCAAAACUUGGUGCAAAAAAGAGGAAAAUUUUACAUUUUCUCAAACAGGGUAAGGAACUUGGUUCCUCGAAUAACUUCCGGCACGGACACC